AGGUACCAGAUACUAGUGGAGUAGUCGAGGUAUGCAAAAGCUGGCACAAAAACCACCAUCAUAAAAGAAAGAAUGUGCCACAUGGAUGGGUAACGGGGACAGUAGUUGAAGGAUAUAAGAACAACUUAGCAGGUUGAGGAUUAUAGUAAGCAUAGAGAAAUCUCCAUGACGACAAGCCUAAAUAAAUGCAGGCUUCUUGAAUUUGGGAUACAUUAGUAAUUAAAGUACAAUUUAUUACUGCAACAGAAUAUGCAUCUUAGCUCUCUAACAGUAUCGAGGCGUGAUGAACACUCAAUUUGUAUGAACAAUCAGAGGUUCAAAAUAUUAAAGAACCACAAAUAGCAAAGCACAUAAAGGAUAAACAGAGAGAAUUACUCAAUACCUCGUUAAGGCGCUCAGCAUCCUGCAUCUUCUGCAGCAUCCAUCGGUCAACCAACGUUUUAUUUUCUGCCUCAGCAUUGUUUGCUCUCAGAGUCAUUGCUUCAAGUUGUGCUUUAAGGUCCUGGUGCUCAGCCAUAAGCAAUUCCAAAGCUUUAGUCUUUUCCCCAAGAAGUUCAGUUAAAUGUGAACAUUCAUCCCUGCAGCACACUCAUCAAUGAAAGUAAUUGAGCAGUUAUACUCCAUCCUGGCAACCAAAGUAAAACAGUUGAGCGCAUCUUAGGACAUCCAAAGUAAACUUAAUUUGUUAAAUUGGGAAACUAAGAUACUAUUUUAUAAUCUUAAACAUGAACGUUCAUUCAGAAGCUUGAAACCAAAUCAACUUUUGGUAAGGAUCAUAUUACUGAAGUUUUUGUCCAGCUAAUUCUAAGCAAUCCCUAGUGUAUUCCUUUAUUUCUGCCCUUUUAUUACUUUUCACGUGCUUCUUUUUUGUCGCAAAGGGAAGAGUGUAAUUUAGGACAUCAAAUGUUUUAGAAGGAUGAGAAUAACACCUUGCUUGAUUUAGCUCAUUUUGAAGGUCAGUAAUGAGAGUUUCCUUCUCCUGAAGUAAAGAUUUUGAUGCUCUGGAUUCAGCUACUUCCACCACAAGCUGCUCUGACAGUCGUGCUUGAGCUUUGUAACAUUGUUGAAGUUCCACUUCAAGAUUUUCAGCUUUCUCUUUCCACUCUGAACCCUAAAACCAUAGGGACAACAUAAGCACGCGGACAACUUUAUCAGCAAUGUAUAGCUACAAGAGAAGUGACUGAGUGCAAAAAAUUCCACAUGCACAGGUUGUAGUUAAAAUUUCUAUGUAGAAAGCUGCAGUUGGUCAGUUCAACUUGCAUCUCAUUCCUUAAGCACGAUUUAAGGGCGAUAAGUAAAUUCUACAUCAUGCAUACCAAGUGAUCUUGAAAGUCAAGAGAGUUGACAAGAAUACUCCGUAAAACAUUUUCCAUUAUCAUGUUCUAACAAAAGGAACACAAAGAAUUAGAAAACUUCCCUUAUUUGAUUAGCUCAAAGCUCCUAUAUAUAGAAUCCUCUUAUAUGUUGUUAACACUCUAAUUAACAACAUUUUUCUCUUUUCUUGUUUCACUUGGUAUCAAAUUCUGUCUUCCAGAGAUUAAUCUCGUUAAAAUGAUUGAAAAGGUGAAACCAUGGCCCUGAAGUCCUCCGCUCAUGGAGUUGAGGUUUCAAGUUAGCAGUUUAUGCUGUCAAAUUAAUGGCUCACAUUUCCCAUUCAACAUCAUAUUAUCACACUAUGAAUUGAACAAUGAUCUGUUACGCUGACAGCAUGAUAGUCUUUGUCGUCAAGCUGGUAGCAUGCAUCACCUCAAAUCCAGUAAAUUCUGAUGUAUGCACAAUUUGUGUCAUCGCCAAGCCAGUCUCAUGCAGUGCAAAAUCAGUUUGUCUCAUGACUGGAUUAGUUUCUUUGAGGGAACAUAGUUAAGAAAAUCAUAAAGAACAUUACAUAGAGAUCUUUUGUUAUCUUACGAUAAUUAAGAAUCAGAAGAACUAGGGAAGUCGUAUUAUUUAUUAGCUCAAACUCAUAUACAAAGAGCUCUCAUGUAUGUCAUUAAUCACUCAACUCACAAGAGUUUCUCUAUCUUCUUUUCUCUCUUUACAUAAACAUUAAUGGUCACUAUAUGUUCAUUUUCAAUUUUUUAACUUCUCAUUUAAUUUUGUUUUAUUGCCAACAAGGAGCUGGUGCCUAUAACUGAUUGGGGAACAAGGUCCAUCCACAUGUAACUUGGUCUUUAAACACUACCAAAAGCAAGUUGUUUUCCAGCGCCAGUGUAAGCAGAAUACAUGAUUGUUUAAAGCUCAAACUUGGGAAGUUUCGGGUAAAUGAACUCAUGUUCGUUCAAUCAGUAAGAUCGAUACAAGAUCACAUAAAACAACAGAUGAAAGAUACAUCUAAAUUGAAAAUUUUGGAAGUCCCCCAUGAUCCCACUCAGACAUAAAACCAGGGAAAUCAACUAAUGUUCAAGCCUAACUAUGAAUGACUGUGAUAAAAAAAACAAAAAAACAAUGAAAUUCUACCGACAUGGUCAGAGGCGGAUAUAUGUAGCUUAUGGUCCUUUCAACGCAUUGAAUAAAUUUAUAUAUGAAUUUCCAUGAAAAUUGCAACAAAUAGUAGAUAUGAACCUAAAACUUCAAAGAUAUAAUAAGGUUCAAUCCUCAGAAUCUUAAAUUUUGAACACUAAAAACUUAAAUCCCGGAACCACCUCUAGACAUGAUAUGCACUUAUAAUUUUCGUGUCUAACAAACAAAACACAGAUGAAAAUGCCAAAUUGGAUACAAAACGUUCAUUAAUGUUGGUAACUUCUUGCAGAUCCUUUCCGCACAGCUCAAUAAUUGCUUUUUUUAAAGUAAUCAUUACUCAAUAAAGUCAUAAAACAUAAUAGAAAAAACUAAAUCAACCAAAUUACGAACUCGAUAAAGAACAAAAAAAAAGAAGAAGCAACUAGGAAGAAUAGAAGGGCACCUGCAAAACGAAAGGCCUAUUGAGGGCAGCCAAAGCAGGGGCAUGAGCCCCUUCUUCCACUAAAUGCCGCUUUCUUAGGGCCUUUAAAGCAUGCUUGAUUGCUUCUAUAGCAACUUCUUCGUAUGCCCUAACACAAAAACAAAAAACAAUCUUCAAAAUUCAAAAUUCAAAUGAAAUCGAACAAAAUCAGUUUUGGAUAUUGAAAAAACCUUAAGAUUAAUAUGUUUACAACUUACAUAUUUGAUCAAUUUGCCGAAUCACACACCCAAUUUGCGAAAUUCAGAUUCGUAAGGAGCUAAUUAUGAAUUCAUUUUUCCUAUAGCAGCUGACCUUGGUUUUUUGGUCGGGCCGGGUUGUGUGCCCCGUUUUAUACCGAUCUAACCAAUUUUGUUCCCAGUGAGAUCAUAUUUGACCCAUUAAUUAAUUAGAUAAUAUUAUUAUAUUACCCAUUAAAUAUAUUAAAUUUGAUACUUUGAAAAAUAUAUUAGAUAUUGAAUAAUAUUUAAUAUUAAGGGUAGAAUAGAUAUAAAAUGAUAAAUUAUUUCUUAGUUUUCUAAAUUGGACAACUAUUUUUAGUAUAGUGCACAAGUAAAAAUGGACAGAGAGAGUGCUACUUAAAAGUAUCCCACCAUUUGUAUCAGAUAAAUUAUUCCGUAUACCUAGUGGGAUAACUUAUUCCAAGAUAAUUAACCCUAAAAUAACUUGUUCCUAGCCAAACAACCCCUUAUAGUCUUGAUUUCUUAAUGCGACACUUAUUUUGAGAUAAUUUUUAAAAAAAUUUAUUUUGGGAUAGAGAGAAUAUUUGAUUAUUCAAGACCCAAACUUGUGAGCACGAAUAUACACACACACAUGAAAAUUAUCACCACGAAAGACCGCUUUAUUUUUCCACAAAAAACUAACAGUUAAUAUAUCCACAAUCCAAUCAAAUAUCAACAAAAGAUAUCUAAAAAAAUCAGCUUAAAAGCUUAAUAUUACAAUGUCAGCCCCUUUUGGCAUGAUGUUUAUAUAUGGACGAUGCUCAUUUAUGGCUUCACAAUCACUAUGAUGACCAACUUUGUGCUUUAAGAAAACUAAUAUCAACAAUGACACUCGUGAUCCUCACUGAAAUCUCAAUUACUGAGCAAUCUUUGAACUGAUAUCAUGACCAAAUACAUAUGGUUCCACUCUUAUCUGAGGUUGCCAAAGGAUUACCAAAACCACCCCAUGAACAACUAAGUACAGAGGAUGUGUGUUCUUUCAAUGUUCUUACCAUUUUACCGUUUGAUACUGACCAAAUAUGAACAGAUCCAUCUACAGAACCUGCAGUAACAUAACCGUCAUCGGCACUAAUACAGGAUCGGCUCCAAUCAGAUGCAACUCGAUUUGCAUUUGAUCUGAAAGUGCCACAAAUUUCAAGGGUGCGUAUAUCGAAUAGAUUGUGCAAGUUAUCUCUCCCACUGGUUAAUAUCAUGUUUCCAUAUUGAGAGAGUGAAACUGAUGUAACAGCCUUUGAAUGUGCAGCAACUUCACUCAGAAGCUUGCCUGUUUGAACAUCCCAUAAUCUAAGAUUACCAUUAACAUGACCGGAAUAGAGAGUCAGUCCAUCCGUGCUUAACGAAAGGCUGUUACAGUUACUGUGAAAUAUGAUAGUGUUGUUACAGUAACCCUUCUGCAGAUCCCAAACUUUUAUUGUGCGAUCAUAAGCAGCACUCCCCACAUAGCGAUUUGAAGAUCUGCUCACAUCAACUGCACAAACCUUGUUGCUGUGCCCAGUAAGAAUAUGGCGUAUCCUGCCUGAAUUUGCAUUCCACACAUACAAGUCAUUUGAACUACUUGCUGCUAUGAUGAAUUUGUUAUCUUGUGUAAUGGAAAGAUCAAGGACCGAACCCAGACAACCAUAAAGAAUGUUACUUAAUGAUCCACUUCUAGUAUCCCAAAUUUUAACUUCCCGAUCCUCCCCACCGCUUAUCAAUUUACUGGACUUAUAAUCAAAAAGAAUCGAGGCACAUCCACCAUCAUGGGCGGGGAUCCUUUGCCAGCAUGUACUGGGAAUGGAAGAGUCAAAGUAAGCUUCUGCAGCAUCUUCACUUUGGGGGACAACACCGUCCACUUGUGGACGAGGAAGUUUCUUUAUACUGGCGAUCUUGAACUUAUCAAGCAUAUUUUCAUAGAGAGCAUUAGACUAGCAACACAAAAAAUAACAAAUAAGAAAAUGCAAGAGAACCUAUCAUUGUAAAACAUAUAAAAAAUACUGACUGAAAAUAUAGUGCCCCUAACCCUAUUAUUCUAUUAGGAGAAUUGAAUAAAUGAUCAUUGGCAGUUCCUUUGGAUUAGCCAAACUUGUCAAAGAUUUGAAUUUUGUUCAGAUUACAGGGUAGAUUUGCUGUAGAAUAACUUGUUAAGAGAUGGAGCUCGCCUCCUCGUUUUGGUGGCAGAACAACAUGAUUAAAAGUUUUAGCAUGGAGAACUACUACCAAACAGUCACUAAGUCCUGUUAAUAAAAAGGCAAAAGAUGCCAUCUACCAUUCAUUGAAUAAAUACAUGUUGACAAACCAAUAAUAACCCUUACUAACAGUUCAUUUCCACAUCUCAGAAAUUUUGCAUUAUACUGACAUGAAAUAGUUAUUAUGAGACGAAGAUAUUGGAGAUACCCCAGUAAUAAAAUCCUACACCGAUCACCACCAGCCACUCCAGCAUGACGGAAAGUAAAAUGUCGAGCAUCUGGAGUUUCAGUAUGUGCGCUUUCUUACCCAAAUAUUUGGAGAACCACAAGUUGUUAAUAUUUGAGCACUCAUAAGAUAUGAUACUCCUUUAUCUUAUGGUGGCUUUAUGUCAUUCAUCUGUCCAAAACCUAAGGCUAGAUUAUACUUAAAAUAUUAGCAUAGUUCUUUAUCAUUUUAUUUUUCAUUUUUCCCCUUCUUGGUAGUAGUAGUUCUUCAUCAUUGAAGUCUUAAAAUGGAUAGAGUAUGCCACAUGGAUAGCAUCCAAGAGUGUCACCUAGUGGUCAAUGAAGUGAGUGAAAACCGCAUGGAGUUCCAAAUCCCAGUAGUGAUAUACACUCUAGAUUAUUUCUCCCAUCUACCUAAGCCUUGAUGGAUAGAGUUAUUCGGUACCUAUGCUGGUGGGAGGUACCAGAUACUAGUGGAGUAGUCGAGGUAUACACAAGCCGGCACAAACACCACCAUCAUAAAAGAAAGAAUGUGCCACAUGGAUGGGUAACAGGGACAGUAGUUGAAGGAUAUAAGAACAACUGAACAGGUUGAGGGUUAUAUUAAGUGUAGAGAAAUCUCCAUGACGAGAAGCCAAAAUAAGGCUUCUUGAAUUGGUGAUACAUUAUUAAUUAAAGUACAGUUUAUUACUGCAACAGAAAUAUGCAUCUUAGCUCUCUAACAGUAACGAAGCGUGAUGAACACUCAAUUUGUAUGAAAAGUCAGAGGUUCAAAAUGUUAAAGAACCACAAAUAGCAAAGCACACAAAAGGAUAAACAGCAAGAAUUACUCAAUACCUCGUUAAGGCGCUCAGCAUCCUGCAUCUUCUGCAGCCACCAUCGGUCAACCAAUAUUUUAGUUUCUGCUCUCCGAGUAACUGCUUCACGUUGUGCCUGAAGCUCCUGAUGCUUGGACAUAAUCAAGUCCAAAGAUUUACUCUUU
rnacentral:lncRNA from 1 species